GCUGCGCAGCCGCGGGGCGGCCGUCGCGCAUGCGGGGCUCACACGGCUGCAGCCGGCGCUGCUGCCACUCCCGGGAGCAUGAAGGACCGAACCCAGGAGCUCCGCACGGCCAAGGACAGCGAUGAUGAUGAUGAUGUCACUGUCACCGUGGACCGAGACCGCUUCAUGGAUGAGUUCUUUGAGCAGGUGGAGGAGAUUCGAGGCUUCAUUGACAAGAUUGCAGAGAACGUGGAGGAGGUGAAGCGGAAGCACAGUGCCAUCCUGGCAUCCCCCAACCCCGAUGAGAAGACGAAGGAGGAGCUGGAAGAACUCAUGUCCGACAUAAAGAAGACAGCAAACAAAGUUCGUUCCAAGUUAAAGAGCAUCGAGCAGUCCAUUGAGCAAGAGGAAGGCCUGAACCGCUCCUCCGCUGACCUGAGGAUCCGGAAGACACAGCACUCCACGCUGUCCAGAAAGUUUGUGGAGGUCAUGUCGGAGUACAACGCCACGCAGUCCGACUACCGCGAGCGCUGCAAGGGCCGCAUCCAGAGGCAGCUGGAGAUCACCGGCAGGACCACGACCAGUGAGGAGCUGGAGGACAUGCUGGAGAGUGGGAACCCCGCCAUCUUUGCCUCCGGGAUCAUCAUGGACUCCAGCAUCUCGAAGCAGGCUCUGAGCGAGAUUGAGACGCGGCACAGUGAGAUCAUCAAGCUGGAGAACAGCAUUCGUGAGCUACACGACAUGUUCAUGGACAUGGCCAUGCUCGUGGAGAGCCAGGUGAGCACCGGGCCCCCAUGCCCUCCAAUCCAGCCCACACCAGCACCCAGGGCUGCACUAACCUCGCCCUUUCUGCCUGACACGCUGCCCUGCCGGGGAGGGACCAAGUUCUCAGCCUCAGGGUGCUUUCCUGAAGUCCUGCCCCGAGCCCCAACACAACCCUGAGGAGAGGGCCCUCUGGAGCUCGGGUGCCCCCGGCCCCGCAGGGAGAGAUGAUUGACAGGAUCGAGUACAAUGUGGAACACGCGGUAGACUAUGUGGAGAGGGCCGUGUCUGACACCAAGAAGGCUGUCAAGUACCAGAGCAAGGCACGCCGGAAGAAAAUCAUGAUCAUCAUCUGCUGUGUGAUCCUGGGCAUCGUCAUCGCCUCCACUGUUGGGGGCAUCUUCGCCUAGAAGCCACCCAAACUGCCACUCCACUCCAGGUGGGCCACUCCAAGGAGGCCCUGGCUGCUGCCACCUGGCUGGGCUGCCCUCCCAACCCCCGCCUCUGGCUCAGAGCACCCUCCCUCCCGGCUCCCAUGCUCCCUCCUCUGCCAUGGGCCCUCCGUCCCUGCCCCGUGUCGUGUGCAUGAUCUCUGUGAGUGUGCGUCUGUACGGAAGAGGCAGAGGGAGGCAGCCAGCGGGGCGUGAUGCAGUGUACGCAGCAAGGGGCAGACCCAGGCAGGGCCGCCAGGGUGACACAGGCCACGCUUCCUUGCCUUCAGUAACUCAGUGGGCCUGGGUUCUGCUCUUCCCUGGGGACCCUAACCUCGCCUCCAACUGACCUGCCCCGUCCUCUGGCCUCUCCAGCUGUCCCCACAAGCAGAGCCCUGAGGGGUGGGGACCAGCUGGCCACAUGGUGCUGCUUUUCAGGUUAGGGGAGAGGUGGCCCUGAGGGACAGCCCAGCUGAGUCUCAAUCACUGAUCACUGCCAGGGAGGCUCAGGCUGCCAUGGCUCCAGGCUCCCUCCCCUGCUUAGGGGCAAAGUCCAUCGGGUCCUGGGCCUCAGCUUCCCUUCCCACAUUCCUCCAGCCCCAGGAGCAACCCCUUGGGCUAGGUCUGACCCCAGGUGUCCCUCUGGAAGGGGCUGGCUGGUGCCCCAUCUCCAGCCACCUCAGCAGCUAGGGAGGCAAAGCAGGCUGCAGUCAGGCCCUCGAGCCAGUGUUGCAUGUUUGGGAUGGUGGCUCCUGUUGUCUUGCGCUCUGGGAAGUCAGAUGUCAUUUCAGGCCUGCAGUCUCAUCCUGCCCUUGCCAUCCCCCCAUCGAUGUGCCAUGUGGGUGUCAGGUGUCCCGGAUGCAGUAUUUGGCAGCCAGCCGGGGAGGGCUACCUCCUCCUCAACACCUUGGGGCUUCUCAUGGGAAAUGUGACCCUGCCCCAGGACCCUCUCCCUCGUGGACAGGCAGGGAGAUGCAUGCGAGUGCAUGCAGCAGGGGAUGGGGCCGUGUCCGUGUGCCCCACCCUCCCUCGGCUUUACUCCUGCCCAGUGACUGUGACCACUGUCCGUGUUGCCUUCUUGAACAGCGAUUCCCCCCAACCCCUUCACCAAAGGUCUUGGUACAACCAGCUGCCCAUUUUGUGAAAUUUUUAUGUAGAAUAAACAUUUGUAUCUGUA